rnacentral:rRNA from 1 species
UACGUAGGGUGCAAGCGUUGUCCGGAAUUAUUGGGCGUAAAGAGCUCGUAGGCGGUCUGUCGCGUCGGCUGUGAAAACCCGGGGCUCAACCCCGGGCCUGCAGUCGAUACGGGCAGACUAGAGGGCGGUAGGGGAGACUGGGAUUCCUGGUGUAGCGGUGAAAUUCGUAGAUAUUAGGAGGAAUACCGGUGGCGAAGGCGGCCUUCUGGACCGAUCUUGACGCUGAGACGCGAAAGCGUGGGGAGCAAACAGG